AACGAACGCUGGCGGCAUGCCUAACACAUGCAAGUCGAACGAAGCCUUCGGGCUUAGUGGCGCACGGGUGCGUAACGCGUGGGAAUCUGCCCCUUGCUUCGGAAUAACAGUUAGAAAUGACUGCUAAUACCGGAUGAAGUCUUCGGACCAAAGAUUUAUCGGCAAGGGAUGAGCCCGCGUAGGAUUAGGUAGUUGGUGGGGUAAAGGCCUACCAAGCCGACGAUCCUUAGCUGGUCUGAGAGGAUGAUCAGCCACACUGGGACUGAGACACGGCCCAGACUCCUACGGGAGGCAGCAGUGGGGAAUAUUGGACAAUGGACGCAAGUCUGAUCCAGCAAUGCCGCGUGAGUGAUGGAGGCCUUAGGGUUGUAAAGCUCUUUUACCAGGGAUGAUAAUGACAGUACCUGGAGAAUAAGCUCCGGCUAACUCCGUG
rnacentral:rRNA from 1 species